rnacentral:rRNA from 1 species
UACGUAGGGGGCAAGCGUUGUCCGGAAUCAUUGGGCGUAAAGCGCGUGUAGGCGGCUCGGUAAGUCCGCUCUGAAAGCCCGGGGCUCAACCCCGGGAGGCGGGUGGAUACUGCUCAGCUCGAGUCCGGAAGAGGAGUGUGGAAUUCCUGGUGUAGCGGUGAAAUGCGCAGAUAUCAGGAGGAACACCAAUGGCGAAGGCAGCACUCUGGGACGGUACUGACGCUGAGACGCGAAAGCGUGGGGAGCAAACAGG